GCUUGUCUCAAAGAUUAAGCCAUGCAUGUCUAAGUAUAAAUAAUUCUAUACUGUGAAACUGCGAAUGGCUCAUUAUAUCAGUUAUAGUUUAUUUGAUAGUCCCUUACUACUUGGAUAACCGUAGUAACUCUAGAGCUAAUACAUGCGCAAAUUCCCGACUGUCGCAAGGCGGAAAGGAUGUAUUUAUUAGAUAAAAAACCAAUCCGGCAACGGUGCUUGGUGAUUCAUAAUAACUGUUCGAAGCGCACGGCCUCGCGCCGGCGCUAGUUCAUUCAAAUUUCUGCCCUAUCAGCUUUCGACGGUAGUGUAGUGGACUACCGUGGCGCUAACGGGUGACGGAGAAUUAGGGUUCGGUUCCGGAGAGGGAGCCUGAGAAACGGCUACCACAUCCAAGGAAGGCAGCAGG
rnacentral:rRNA from 1 species